rnacentral:misc_RNA from 1 species
UCACCCCUCAAGCCCCGGCUUGGUGUUGGACGGCCUGGUCGGGUAACACCGACCCCUCCCAAAGACAAUGACGGCGGCCUCGUGGGACCCCCGGUACACUGAGCUUCUUCACAGAGCACGUACCGGAAUCAGGGCACCCGGGCCCCGGUCGAACCUUUUUAACUUACAA